rnacentral:rRNA from 1 species
AUUGAACGCUGGCGGCAUGCCUUACACAUGCAAGUCGAACGGUAACGGGCCUUCGGGUGCCGACGAGUGGCGAACGGGUGAGUAAUACAUCGGAACGUGCCCGAUCGUGGGGGAUAACGAGGCGAAAGCUUUGCUAAUACCGCAUACGAUCUACGGAUGAAAGCAGGGGACCGCAAGGCCUUGCGCGGACGGAGCGGCCGAUGGCAGAUUAGGUAGUUGGUGGGAUAAAAGCUUACCAAGCCGACGAUCUGUAGCUGGUCUGAGAGGAUGAUCAGCCACACUGGGACUGAGACACGGCCCAGACUCCUACGGGAGGCAGCAGUGGGGAAUUUUGGACAAUGGGCCCAAGCCUGAUCCAGCCAUGCCGCGUGCAGGAUGAAGGCCUUCGGGUUGUAAACUGCUUUUGUACGGAACGAAAAGCCUUCUUUUAAUACAGGAGGGUCAUGACGGUACCGUAAGAAUAAGCACCGGCUAACUACGU